GCAAGGAGGCCAAGAAGCUGGGGGAGGAGGGGCAGAGAAAUGGAGCUGCCCAGAACCCUAGAGGCACAGAGACUGGAGAAAGAAGAGAGGCAAGGAGGCAAAAGAAGAGCUGAAGCAGAGUUGGAGAGGCAGAAAAAUGCAAGGCUACUCAGGGGCCCCAGUGAAAGGAAAAAGGGAACAUUAGCUCUGUGUCCUUGCUCAGGUGCAGUCUAGGGCUCUGGCCAGGGCCUCAAAGGAGUCAAAGUUGCAGUUUCUGGGAUCUGACUCUUCCCUCCCGGAUGUGGUUAUCAGUCCUAGGGCAGCUGUGUCUGAAGCAUUCUGUGUUCUUGCCAUCAUUGUAGCAUUUAACUUUCUGCUGCCCUGGACUAGCCCACCCUCUCCCCUGCCAACAAGAACGGCCCAUUGGCCCACUCCAAUUGGCACCUGAACAGGGACCAGAGUAAGGAGAAAAGGGUUCAGCAACGGUUCCAAAAUUAGGAGGCACAAUACAUUCUAGUACAUUCUGGUCUCCUUGGUCCUUUGGCAGAGGAAGCUGAUGGUCCGUCUUGGGUUCCCGAGAGUCUUGUCAAACACUCCCAGGUUACAAAAGCGAUGGCUCCAUCACAGGCGCCAGAAGUUGAGGAUGCAGAAGAUGAUGAGUUUCAAGGCAGAGCAGAGCCCAAAGCGUCCUAUCCAGUCUACCCAGAAGUGUCUGCUCCAGACUUGGAAACAGAUUAAACACUUUACUGCUAAAGGAAUUGAAGUGGUCAAGGAUAAAGGGCAAUGUGUUUCUCCUACUCACUUAUUUUCGGCAGUUCUGGCAUUAUUCUCUGCCCCGCUAGUAGAAACUGUGGGGGUGUAUUGGCCUUAGGUACCUGAUCCCACUUCGGCCCACCCAGUACUUGGGAGGAUUCAGCAACUAGAGUGUUUACUAAUGAUAUAAUGUUUUUGACAGUCCUGGUAUUUCUCAUGUGCUGCCUUGCACUGCGCUCUCAUCCAUCAUUCCUAUUGGUCAUUGGUGAGUCACUCUGGAUGUGUCCCACUAAUCCAAGUGAUCCAAAAAAAAUAUGUCUUUGGGGGACAGGAGAGUUUAACAUCAUCAAUUCACCCAUCACUUUAGUUUUCCAGUCUCCCCUCCACAUUACCCCCAUUGGAUGGAUGCUUCCAAGUAUGUAAUGAGAAUCCUAUGCCCUGGUUUCCAGAAUGGAAUUCCCACUGCAAGGUUCUAAAGAAUUCUGUGCCUCUGAAUGGAUGAUCUAAGGUGCUCGUCGACUUGUCCUGGAGAUGUCCACUUACUCUGGAUGAAGAUAACUUCUUAGGUGCAGAGAGCCAUGCAGGAGGAAUGACAAAUGGCUUUAGAACUCAUGGAAUUUGGCCCACAGGUUAGCACAGCUGCAUGGGUGAGCCUUGUUGUAGCACAGCUCCAAGGACCACGUGUCCUGGGGACUUCAUGCUGUUACAGAGUUCUGUUCUUGCUGCCCUCACAUCCCUCUUAAUCUAAGAAUUGUAUGAAAACUCUAAGGGGGCUUCCAGCCGCUCACUGGGCACUAUCUCUGUCACUCACAAUACUAAUGUUUGGUCUCUUUCAGUCAUUGCUGCUGGAGCAGGUUAAUGAUUCAAUCACCACCGUAGAGAAGAGGUUAGAGAUGUAGAUUGACUCCACUCUUAGAACACAUUUGGAAAAAUAAAGUUGUUAGUGAAACUAGGUUGAGAUAUUUUUCCUAGUGGCUCGGAUGUAAAAAAUCUUAGGGAAUAAUCUGCAGUUCAGAAAGGCACACACUUAUUAGUUAUGCUAGAGACCCUUUAUGGUCAGGCAACAAUGGCAGCACUGGCUGAUGGGACUCUCACUGAGGCUGGACUGGGGUAAUUGAUUCCAUAUACCCAUUUUUGCCCUCGGCUUCCUGAUACAGUUUAUUAAUAAUUGCUGAUGAGUAGAUAUGCACUUUAAGGAUUUAAGAUAGUUAUGGCUUAUUCUUAUAUAAAAGUUUAGAUUUGUAAUUCUUUUAAGAUACUUACACGAUUACUUUUAAAGAUAAAUAGUAAAAUAAUUACUGCUUUCUUUGUAACCACAAACUACUGCCUGCCAGUAAGAGAAACUGACUGAGAAAACUACCUUGCUUGCUCACACUUUGUUAACCUGUAACAAGUUGCUUAGUUAAGAAUGUAGGUGGGUUUGGGGGAAUAAUUGGGGUUUUUUUUAUCUGUAAUAUGUAAUGUUUCUUGUAAAGGUAUUGGAAAACACAUUGUAUUUUCAUAACCAUUCACUAGAAGAAAAUGAAAACAUAAUCACAUUAUAAUUGUAUACUGCUUGAAAAAUUUUGCUGGGAUAUAUAAGUGGUAGAAGAAAGAAUAAAGUAUGAGAGUUGGAGCACCCAUCAACUAUGUGUAUGUAUAAGGUUUAUGUAUAUGGUGGGUUGUCACAUUGUUCUUUCCCCAUCAACUAUGCAUAUGUAUGAUGUAUGUAUGAAUGCAUGUAUGUAUGUAUGAAUGUAUGUAUGUAUCUAUGUGUGUGUGUGUUAGUAAGGUUUGAGUGAAUGGGGGCUGGAACAUUGUUCCUUCCAUCCAUCAAUU
rnacentral:sRNA from 1 species